UACAGAGGUGGCAAGCGUUGUUCGGAAUUACUGGGCGUAAAGGGCGCGUAGGCGGUUUCGUAAGUCCCGUGUGAAAGCCCCCGGCUCAACUGGGGAAUUGCACGGGAAACUGCGAGGCUUGAGUUCGGGAGAGGGAAGCGGAAUUCCGGGUGUAGCGGUGAAAUGCGUAGAUAUCCGGAGGAACACCGGUGGCGAAGGCGGCAUCCUGGACCGGCAUUGACGCUGAAAAGCGAAAGCUAGGGGAGCAAACGGG
rnacentral:rRNA from 1 species